rnacentral:rRNA from 2 species
AAGGAUCAUUAAUGAAUUCACUAUGGAGUUGUUGCUGGCCUCUAGGGGCAUGUGCACGCUUCACUAGUCUUUCAACCACCUGUGAACUUUUGAUAGAUCUGUGAAGUCGUCUCUCAAGUCGUUAGACUUGGUUUGCUGGGAUGUAAACGUCUCGGUGUGACUACGCAGUCUAUUUACUUAUAACACCCCAAAUGUAUGUCUACGAAUGUCAUUUAAAGGGCCUUGUGCCUAUAAACCAUAAUACAACUUUCAACAACGGAUCUCUUGGCUCUCGCAUCGAUGAAGAACGCAGCGAAAUGCGAUAAGUAAUGUGAAUUGCAGAAUUCAGUGAAUCAUCGAAUCUUUGAACGCACCUUGCGCCCCUUGGUAUUCCGAGGGGCAUGCCUGUUUGAGUGUCAUUAAAUUCUCAAACUCACUCUGGUUUUUCCAAUUGUGAUGUUUGGAUUGUUGGGGGCUGCUGGCCUUGACAGGUCGGCUCCUCUUAAAUGCAUUAGCAGGACUUCUCAUUGCCUCUGCGCAUGAUGUGAUAAUUAUCACUCAUCAAUAGCACGCAUGAAUAGAGUCUGGCUCUCUAACCGUCCGCAAGGACAAUUUGACAAUUUGACCUCAAAUCAGGUAGGACUACCCGCUGAACUUAA